GACGAACGCUGGCGGCGUGCCUAAUACAUGCAAGUCGAACGCAGUGGGGACGGGUGAGUAACACGUGGGUAACCUCCCAACAGAGGGGAUAACACCUGGAAACAGGUGCUAAACCGAUACUGAAGGAAGAACCCGAGGUGCAUUAGCUAGUUGGUGUGGUAACGGCUCACCAAGGCCACGAUGCAUAGCCGGCCUGAGAGUGUGAUCGGCCACACUGGGACUGAGACACGGCCCAGACUCCUACGGGAGGCAGCAGUAGGGAAUCUUCAGCAAUGGACGAAAGUCUGACCGAGCAACGGCGCGUGAGUGAAUAAGGUUUUCGGUUCGUAAAUCUCUGUUAUUAAAGAAGCGGUAUCUAACCAGAAAGCCACGGCUAACUACGUGCCAGCAGCCGGGGUAAUAC
rnacentral:rRNA from 1 species